rnacentral:rRNA from 1 species
GAUGAACGCUGGCGGCGUGCCUAACACAUGCAAGUCGAACGGAGUUAUGAUGUGAGCGGGAAGUGCUUGCACUAAACAAUCUUUUCAUAACUUAGUGGCGGACGGGUGAGUAACGCGUGGGUAACCUGCCCUGUACUGGGGGACAACAGUUGGAAACGACUGCUAAUACCGCAUAAGCGCACGGGAUCGCAUGAUCCCGUGUGAAAAACUCCGGUGGUACAGGAUGGACCCGCGUCUGAUUAGCUGGUUGGUGAGGUAACGGCCCACCAAGGCAACGAUCAGUAGCCGGCCUGAGAGGGUGAACGGCCACAUUGGGACUGAGACACGGCCCAAACUCCUACGGGAGGCAGCAGUGGGGAAUAUUGCACAAUGGGGGAAACCCUGAUGCAGCGACGCCGCGUGAGUGAAGAAGUAUUUCGGUAUGUAAAGCUCUAUCAGCAGGGAAGAAAAUGACGGUACCUGACUAAGAAGCCCCGGCU